GUAUGUAAAUUCCCUAACGAGGAAGUACAUUUUCCUACCUUCUGAAGCUGGAAGUACAAAUUGAUUUUGCUGAUCACACAGCACGGGAUAUUCCGUUGAAAAGCGAAAUUGUACCGAAAGUAGUAGUCUGGAGACGUGUUUUCACAAAUGGAAAACUUGACAAUUGGCACGCCAUUUCAAAACGCGGCUCUUCAUUUCACGACGCGUGCUCAAAAGACGCCGAACUGCAACAGCGAGGCCAAACAGGGAUACGUGAGACAUUUUGGCAACGCUGGACUCAAAGAAGUGCAAGGCUGCUGUGCAGAAGGGGACACUCGCCGAGCGGUGCCAAUUCUGAAAACCGAUCGUAGUUUUGACAUGAUGCUGAACUGCUCUCCUGCGGCCCAGGAUACAUCUGUAAACAUUGGCUAAAUGAAGUCAGUGGGGUUCUCACAAUGAAACACCCCCUGCUCCCACCCCCCGAUGGCCCUUCCAUCCAUUUCUGAGGGACUUCAGAUAUCCAAUGGAUGUGCUAAAAACCCCGCUGUGUCAGGUCCUUUAGACCCGUCUCUGGCUCCCAUCUCUGACAUCUGCUCAGGGUUGGGGUUUCAUUCAAGAGGGGGGCAGAGGGAGUCAAUCUGCUCUUUUAAAAGAGCCUCACAGUGCCCUGGGUGCUGAUGGGGUGGAAUGAAGAAUCCGCACAAUUUCUCUUGCUGGCACCACUGAUGUGCUAUUCUCCAUCCCUUCUCCAUCAAUGCCACCACAACUGAAAGCCGUCUUUCAUAUCCUCCCACGGCUCCAGAUUGACAGGCAUCAGACAGUUCAGGUGAUGAGGAGGAGAGGGUGUGAAUGGAGAUAGAGAGGUGCCAUGUUUGAACACUUCCUAAAGAAGCAUGCCCGAUACUCGGCAAAAAAAAGGCCCCGCGCUUCCAGUCCUUUUUGGCAAGUCGACCAUGAUGACUAUUUGAAGACUUGACAGAUUGUGCUGAUGUGUUUAUUUAGUUGCGCAAAUGCGGAAUGGAGCUGUUUUCAAGCUUUAUUUAUGUUGCAUAUUAACUCGGUCACCAACAGAAAUGAGGCAGCAUCAAUCAUCCACUUGAUGGGAAGAACACUGAAACAUUUAUUUUAGCAUCGGGUAGAUAGCGGCAUCUGUACACUUUCCCAAGUGGAUAGAAAAUAAAUGAUCUGUGCCUUUGUAUAUCACUAUAUAGACGCUGA
rnacentral:lncRNA from 1 species